rnacentral:rRNA from 1 species
CCUACGGGAGGCAGCAGUGAGGAAUAUUGGUCAAUGGACGAGAGUCUGAACCAGCCAAGUAGCGUGAAGGAUGACUGCCCUAUGGGUUGUAAACUUCUUUUAUAUGGGAAUAAAAUGUUCCACGUGUGGGAUUUUGUAUGUACCAUAUGAAUAAGGAUUGGCUAACUCCGUGCCAGCAGCCGCGGUAAUACGGAGGAUCCGAGCGUUUUCCGGAUUUAUUGGGUUUAAAGGGAGCGUAGGUGGAUUGUUAAGUCAGUUGUGAAAGUUUGCGGCUCAACCGUAAAAUUGCAGUUGAAACUGGCAGUCUUGAGUACAGUAGAGGUAGGCGGAAUUCGUGGUGUAGCGGUGAAAUGCUUAGAUAUCACGAAGAACUCCGAUUGCGAAGGCAGUUCACUGGACUGCAACUGACACUGAGGCUCGAAAGUGUGGGUAUCAAACAGGAUUAGAUACCCGUGUAGUC